ACACGUAGGUGACCUGCCUCGAAGACGGGGAUAACUGCUGGAAACGGUAGCUAAUACCCGAUGGUCUCGAUAAUUCGGUUUGUCGAGUAAAGGCUCCGGCGCUUUGAGAGGGACCUGCGGCCCAUCAGCUAGUUGGUAGGGUAACGGCCUACCAAGGCGAAGACGGGUAGGGGGCGUGAGAGCGUGACCCCCCACACUGGCACUGGGACACGGGCCAGACUCCUACGGGAGGCAGCAGUGAGGAAUAUUGCGCAAUGAGCGAAAGCUAGACGCAGCAACGCCGCGUGGGUGAUGAAGGCCUUCGGGUCGUAAAACCCUUUUCUGGGGGAAGAGUAAGGACGGUACCCCAGGAAUAAGCCUCGGCUAACUAUGUGCCAGCAGCCGCGGUAAUACAUAGGAGGCAAGCGUUAUCCGGAUUUACUGGGCGUAAAGAGCGUUGAGGCGGCUUCGUAAGUUGGACGUGAAAGCUCCCGGCUUAACUGGGAGAGGCCGUUCAAUACUGCGGGGCUUGAGGACAGCAGAGGGGGGUGGAAUUUCCGGUGUAGUGGUGAAAUGCGUAGAUAUCGGAAGGAACACCAGUGGCGAAGGCGGCCCCCUGGGCUGCUCCUGACGCUGAAGGCGAAAGCUAGGGUAGCGAACGGGAUUAGAAACCCCGGUAGUCCUAGCCGUAAACGAUGGAUACUAGGUGUAGGAGGUUAAAACUCCUUCUGUGCCGGAGCUAACGCGUUAAGUAUCCCGCCUGGGGAGUACGGUCGCAAGGCUAAAACUCAAAGGAAUUGACGGGGGCCCGCACAAGCAGCGGAGCGUGUGGUUUAAUUCGAUGCAACGCGAAGAACCUUACCAGGGCUUGACAUGUAGGUAGUAGUGAAGCGAAAGCGGAACGAUCCUUCGGGAAGCCUACACAGGUGCUGCAUGGCUGUCGUCAGCUCGUGCCGUGAGGUGUUAGGUUAAGUCUUGUAACGAGCGCAACUCCUCUCCGUUAGUUACAAGUGUCUAUCGGGACUGCCCGGCAAAACUGGGAGGAAGGUGGGGAUGAGGUCAAGUCAGCAUGGCCUUUAUGUCCUGG
rnacentral:rRNA from 1 species